AGUGGGGAAUAUUGGACAAUGGGCGGAAGCCUGAUCCAGCAACGCCGCGUGAGGGAUGACGGCCUUCGGGUUGUAAACCUCUUUCAGUACCGACGAAGCGAAAGUGACGGUAGGUACAGAAGAAGCACCGGCCAACUACGUGCCAGCAGCCGCGGUAAUACGUAGGGUGCGAGCGUUGUCCGGAAUUAUUGGGCGUAAAGGGCUCGUAGGCGGUUUGUCGCGUCGGGAGUGAAAACACUGGGCUUAACUCAGUGCUUGCUUCCGAUACGGGCAGACUAGAGGUAUGCAGGGGAGAACGGAAUUCCUGGUGUAGCGGUGAAAUGCGCAGAUAUCAGGAGGAACACCGGUGGCGAAGGCGGUUCUCUGGGCAUUACCUGACGCUGAGGAGCGAAAGUGUGGGGAGCGAA
rnacentral:rRNA from 1 species